rnacentral:lncRNA from 1 species
CAGAGCAGAGAGCCACCAUGUGAGCCAGGCCCACGUCUUUCAUCUACUGCCCAGUAUUCCUGAUACGGCUACUCCUGUGGGUAGGCGAGUUACAGAGACAGCACCCCAACAGCACCCCAACAUCUGAGGCCCCCUUCUACGCAGGGUACUAACAAGGCCUCCCAACAGUGCCAUGAGGUAGGCAUUAUUAUCAUCCCCAAUUUACAGAGAUUUAUGGCCCUGGUACCACAGUGGAUACCAGCAGCCAGAGAAAGCCCCAGGCAAAGACACACAGGUUCUGGCAGAUGGAAGCCACGAAGUCAGAGGAUUGGUGGGACUCAGACAGCACCUACUACACCCGGCACGGAGAUGGGCCUGUGGGCAACUGCCUCUUGCACUUGGCAGUGCAGAUGGGGAAGCAGAGUUGCUGCAUAUCAGGCACCUACUGUUUGCAUGAUCCUAGGCUAAAAUCUCUUUAUACAUGAGGUCUCCGACUCUCAUAACCGCCCCAUGAGAAAAGUCUUAUUAACUGCUCCCAUUUCAUAGAUGAGGGGCUCAAAAUGAUGUAUCUUGCCCACAUCACGCCCAGACGGUAAAUGGCAGGGCUGAAAUUCGAACCCAGGUGGGUCCGACCCCAGGGAACGUACAGAGACAGAGAGAGAGGAGCCCGUGCAAGAUGCACCUGGCAGGAGAUACUGCUCAGCAAAUGAAGGACCUUUCAUGUCCUAGGGAGCUGCUGAAGAAUUCUGAACCAGUGACACCAUCAGACACAGACAGAGGGAAGAUCCUGUGAGGACACAGGGAGAAGGUGGCCGCCUAUCGGCCAAGGAGAAAGGCCUCCAACAAACCAGCCCUGAGACACCUUGAGCUCAGACUCCCAGCCUCCAGAACUGUGAGUAGAUACAUUUCUGUUGUUUAAGCAGUCCAUUCUGUUGUACUGUGUUCUGGCAGCCCUAGCAAACUGAUACACCCUCAUGUUACAGGUAAGGAAACUGAGGCACACAGGGGUUAAAUAAUGGGCCCAGUUGCUUCUUGAACUCAAGUAGUCUGAGUAGUAAUUAGUUCCCUCCCUGAGGGCUCUAUAGAUCUGGGGCCGACGUCUGGUUGAGACCCACACCAAACGCCACACAGUAAGAGUUGCUCCCCCAAGCCUAGCAUCAGUCAUAGCUUAUGCUGCAACAAAGACACACAAUUCAGUGGGACAUAAUUUAGGUCCAAGCCAUGUUUUGUUUUGUUUUGUUUUGAGUCGGAGUCUCACUCUGUCGCCCAGGCUGGAGUACGAUGGCAUGAUCUUGGCUCACUGCAACCUCCGCCUCCUGGGUUCAAGCAAUUCUCCUGCCUCAGCCUUUCAAGUAGCUGGGAUUACAGGCGCCUGCCACCAGGCCCGGCUAAUUUUUGUAUUUUUAAUAGAGACGGGGUUUCACCGUAUUGGUCAGGCUGGUCAUGAAAACCUGACCUCGUUAUCUGCCCACCUCAGCCUCCCAAAGUGCUGGGAUUACAAGUGUGAGCCACCAUGCCUGGCCCCAAGCCAAGGUUUUUUGUGGGUUUUUUCUUUCUUUUCUUUUUGAGACAGGGUCUCACUCUGUUGCCCAGGCUGGAGUGCAGUGGCAUGAUCUCAGCUCACUGUAGCCUCGAUCUCCUGGGCUCAAGCAAUCCUCUCACUUCAGCCUCUAGAGUAGCUGGGACUGCAGGCAAGCCACCAUCCCUGGCUAAUUUUUACAUUUUUUGUGGAGUUGGGGUCUUGCCAUCUUGCCCAGGCUGGUCUUGAACUCCUGGGCUCACCCAGCACUGGGAACUCCUGCCUCAGCCUUCCAAAGUGCUGGGAUUACAGGUGUGAGCCACCAUGGCUGGCCUUUUUUUGAGCCAGUAGGCGCUGUGCUGCUCCCAAUCGUGAGUGAGUGAGUCUUGCUCUCAGCCCUUCUCCUCUGCUGCCUUUCCCCCGCACCACCACAGAGCAAGAGCUUCUCAAUCUCCUUGGACUAUGAAGAUGGUUAGCCAAACUCAUCUUCUCUCCCUAUGCGCUUCCUACUUCCAUCCCCUCUGCCCCACUGCAGCGCCUGAGAGGGUUUUCUCUGGCCCUCUUCAGCCUCAUCCCUCCCCUGCCUAAAGCCUUAAGGAUGCAAUAUUUUUUUUUUUUUAAAGACAGAAUCUCGCUUUAUGCCCCAUGCUGGAGUACAGUGGUGCAAUCUCGGCUCACUGCAAACUCCGCCUCCCGGGUUCAAGUGCUUCUUCUGCCUCAGCCUCCCGAGUAGCUGGGAUUACAGGCACCGACCACCAUGCCCACCUAAUUUUUGUAUUUUUAGUAGAGACAGGGUUUCACCAUGUUGGCCAGGCUGGUCUCAAACUCAUGAUAUCAGGUGAUCCACCCACCUCGGCCUCCUAAAGUGCUGGGAUUACAGGCGUGAGCCACCGCGCCUGGCCAAGGUUGCAACUUUUAAAUGCCCAUUGCAGAUGUCAUGACACACACUCUUCGAUACCCCAACACAUGUGGUCAUCCCACAGAGGCACAAUGGACCCCAACAGUUGGCACAGCAAGCAGGGCAUGUGGGCAGUGACCGUGAUGGCAGGGGUCUCUCUUCCCUCGCUUUGGCUUGUGAACUGGCUCUGCUGCCUGCUGGCGACCUGCCCUCUGCGCCUCUGCCCGCUGAUUCGUUUGUGUUUGGAGCUGUGCUGCUUUGUGCUGAUUGGCCAAGUCCUCUGAGCGUCUGUUACAGAUUUUACCAGGGCAAGCUGGAAGUUUCAGUAAUUGGUGUUUAGGGACAGAAGUAUGGGAUUGGAGCCCUCUUUAACGUGGCUCUGGGUCAUGGACCUUGGCAUGGCCCUAUCUGUGUGUCUCACUGAAUUGUGUGGUUCCAGCAUAAGCUAUGGCUGAUGCUGGGCUCAGCGGAGCAACUCUUACUGUGGGGCCUUUGGCUGUGAGUCUCAACCAGACAUUGGACCCGAAUCUGCAGAGCACUCAGGGGAACUAGUAACACCUUGUGCAGUAUUUCCACCCAAUGAUGGUCACUCAUGGGGUGCAGGAGCUGUCACCAUGUGGCCUGCUGAGGUCCACACCCCUAAAAGGUGAUGGCUUUCCAAGUGCCACCUGCUGCUGCUGCUGCUACCUGUGCCUCUCUCACACCAAAGACCCUGAUCCCCAGGGUUAUAAGAAAAAGACAUCCAUGACAUCCCAUGGACAGACUCCUGUGAAAAAGGCCUGAAUGCUUUAUCUCAGCCCCUCCUAAGGGGUUAGAGGAUACCCUGGCCCUAUUGGACAGCUGUAAAAUGGACCAACAAAGAUUCUGGGGUCAGCUGAGUGCCACAACUUAUCAACACGCAACAGGGCUGCUCUGCCCCCGUGAAGUCUGUGUCCCUUAGCCAACAAGGUAACCACUGCCCUGGAGGAGGCGCGCCCUGACCAUGCUAAUGUGAGACCCUCUGAAGGAUGAAGCUUACAAAUAUGGCAAAGAUGGAGGGGACCUGCCUCAAACCACAGUGAGUAACCACCUCCCUCCAGAUACCUGGAUACAGGGGGAGAAAACAAAAAACCAAGGUCCACAGUUGGGGAUGACCCAAGUAGAAAUCCAAAAUAAUUUUUUGGUUUUUGAGACAGCGUCUCGCUCUGUCACCUAGGCUGGAGUGCAGUGGCACAAUCUUGGCUCACUGCAACCUCCGCCUCCCGGGUUCAAGCAAUUCUCCUGCCUCAGCCUCCGAAGUUGCUGGGACUACAGGCGGGAGCCACCGCGCCCAGCUAAUGUUUGUAUUUUUAGUAGAGAUGGAGGUUUGCCAUGUUGACCAGGCUGGUCUCAAACUCCUGGCCUCAGGUGAUCCACCCACCUCGGCCUCCCAAAGUGUUGGGGUUACAGGCGUGAGCCACCGCGCCCAGCCGGGAAUCCAAAAUUUACUGAAAGAAUUUAUACAACAAAAACAUGAAAGGGUGCCGAAUGGCUUUUGCGCCUCUACAACAUGAGUUUUGAAUUAAGUUCAACAUCUGCUGAAAUGUACCAAUUGGGAAAAUGUCAUUUUCUUAAUCCUGGGGCUCAAAUUACAGUUAUACCAGUGAUCCCACUAAAUUAAGACAAGGUACCCUUUGUAAUCUUAGGGAAGUUACUAAAUAUGACAGGAGAAACAGGUAUGCCUCGCCUUAACCAUCUGAACUAUUGCCUUGCCUAAAUUCCCUGUAGUCAUAGCACCCAUUAUUCUAAAAUGUCCUAUAAUGGGCAUGGACUCUCUGAUCCAAUGACUAAUACAUUAAAAUUCAUUUAAGUCUUUGGCACUUAACAAUCAGGUUGACAAAAUGGGACCCCAUGGACCCACCU